AUUGAACGCUGGGGGCAUGCCUUACACAUGCAAGUCGAACGGUAACAGGUUAAGCUGACGAGUGGCGAACGGGUGAGUAAUAUAUCGGAACGUGCCCAGUCGUGGGGGAUAACUGCUCGAAAGAGCAGCUAAUACCGCAUACGACCUGAGGGUGAAAGCGGGGGAUCGCAAGACCUCGCGCGAUGGGAGCGGCCGAUAUCAGAUUAGGUAGUUGGUGGGGUAAGAGCCCACCAAGCCAACGAUCUGUAGCUGGUCUGAGAGGACGACCAGCCACACUGGGACUGAGACACGGCCCAGACUCCUACGGGAGGCAGCAGUGGGGAAUUUUGGACAAUGGGCGCAAGCCUGAUCCAGCCAUGCCGCGUGCGGGAAGAAGGCCUUCGGGUUGUAAACCGCUUUUGUCAGGGAAGAAAAGGUUCUGGUUAAUACCUGGGACUCAUGACGGUACCUGAAGAAUAAGCACCGGCUAACUACGUGCCAGCAGCCGCCGUAA
rnacentral:rRNA from 1 species